UCUAAAUAGAAUGAGAUUUUCAAAUUAUCUCUGCCAUACACUGAGUAACUUAUUCCCCACUAUUCUUUCCGUAUCUGGUGUUAACCACCCCCCGUAAUACAAAUGCAAAAUUCAAACACACUUACAUAUUUAAUAUUCUUGGCGAGACGCACAGCUAUGGAGCGACUGCCAACAUUGGUACCGUCCAGCUUCCAGAGUGCAUUAGUGGCGCCCUCGUUCUGGGCGAAUGUUACAAACGCGUAUCCUCGUGACUGGCCGACCAUUGGUCCGCCCUUGUGAAAGAGCAUGUCAAACUUUUCAAUGGCGCCGCAUUUUUGCAUUAGUUUGAGAAGUUGAAACCGAUAGUUGUCAAAUGGGGAAAAUUCACAACUUACUCGGUAAUCCGUGCAUCAAGAUUGCCUACCCAGAUGCGUCUGUGGUCCUCGGAGUUGGCAUUGGAAUGUUCUGUUGGAGAA